UACGGAGGAUGCAAGCGUUAUCCGGAAUGAUUGGGCGUAAAGCGUCCGCAGGUGGUGGUGUGUGUCUAUUGUCAAAGCGUCAUGCUUAACAUGAUAUAGGCAGUAGAACCUACACAACUAGAGUGCGUUCGGGGCAGAGGGAAUUCCUGGUGUAGCGGUGAAAUGCGUAGAGAUCAGGAAGAACACCGGUGGCGAAAGCGCUCUGCUAGGCCGCAACUGACACUUAGGGACGAAAGCUCGGGGAGCAAAUGGG
rnacentral:rRNA from 1 species